rnacentral:rRNA from 1 species
CAGCCGCCGCGGUAAGACAGAGGAUGCAAGCGUUAUCCGGAAUGAUUGGGCGUAAAGCGUCUGUAGGUGGCUUUUAAAGUCCGCCGUCAAAUCCCAGGGCUCAACCCUGGACAGGCGGUGGAAACUACCAAGCUGGAGUACGGUAGGGGCAGAGGGAAUUUCCGGUGGAGCAGUGGAAUGCGUUGAGAUCAGAAAGAACACCAACGGCGAAAGCACUCUGCUGGGCCGACACUGACACUGAGAGACGAAAGCUAGGGGAGCAAAUGGGAUUAGAUACCCCCGUAGUCCCUGUCUCUUAUAA